rnacentral:lncRNA from 1 species
GAAAAGACCUUGCAACUUCUCCUCACUUCAAUAUUUCUUCUUUCAUUUGUACUUGACUGAGUGAAUUACGGUAACUCCUAGAGAUUUUUCAAUGGAUGACCAUUUUACUUAAAGAUAUGAUCCAACUCUGGAUCUUCAAAAGGUGAGCACUUUAAUAAUCAUGAAUUGUUGCAUCAAUUUAGUCACUCCUCGUACCCUUUCUCCUCAAAUUACGGGAUAAUAAUUGGAUUACAUAAUUGAAUCCAUUUUAUUUUUUUUCUGAAUACUUGAGGUAACACACCUAUCACUAGAUGUGAGACAACAGUUUUUUAUAAAAUGGCCAAAACAAAACUUUGCUAAACAAAUUAGAUCCGCUAGAUUAUUUGUGUAACUAAAGUAAAACUGUAAGUUGUCACUGCCAAUCUCAAUAUGUGUGUAAGAAUCCUCAUGAAUUAGCUGUGGCUGGAAUUCUAAAGUUACAUGUACAUAUUGGUAACACAGUCAUUAGAUCUGUCAUUGUUACAUAACCAGCUAUCGCAUUGUGUUCGUACACAAGUGAAGCUGUACUUAUGUUACUUAACUAGUAAACCUCAGUAUGUGAUGUCAUCAUAAAAGGUGGAAAAAUUAUAAUAUAUACUUCCUUCGUUAUUAUGAUAAGGAUUGUAAUUAAUUUAUUGAAUUUCAAAAAAAAUAUUUAACAACCUUCUAAUAUAUUUUUUAUUUAUCUGAUUAACGACUUAUUUACUCUUCUUAUAUACUAUUCUCACUAAAUAUCGAUUAAGACUAGUUUAAAAAAAAAAUUAAUGCAACAUUGAUUUGAUUUUGUAAAAUUAUAUAUAUUUUAGAAUAAUUUUUUUCUCAAUAACAUCAUAUAAUCUAAAACGAAAAUAUUAGUUUUUCUUGGCAUCUUUAUCAUCCUUUUAUCUCUGUAUCAGUUAUCACAUUUUACUUUUUCUACUUUCUUCCUAUGUUUCUCUUCUUUUCACCGGAAUCCACCUCAUUUUGGGGUGUACAUUUAUCAUUACUCUAAAAGAAGCUUUGUGUAAAGAAAAUUACAUUCCCAUCUGUGAUAUGCUGGUAAGAGAGGACAGCAGAAACUCCCUAACCAAGUCAAAAUUGAUCAAAACUAAAAUCCUUCGCAGUUGUUGUACUGAAGAAACAUGUGGUGAGUUUGUGCCGUACGAAACAAGCAUGAAGAAGAGGAAUGGAGAUGGGGUUGAGGCUUAAAGGCUCUGAAAGUACAUGUGACUAUUAAAUUACUAUAUAUGUUGAUUAUACCGCAGGCAAUGGUAUUGUGAAUCACGAGAACUUCACGUGUAACUCUGACCUCCUUCUUCAGCACAACCGACCAAUUCUUUUUUUGAAGUUUCAAUAUAUGCUGAUACUAUGGUUGGACCACUUUGAUCCCC